CAAAAGUAAUUGUGAUUUUUGCCAUUGAAAGUAAUGGCAAAAAGCACAAUUAUUUUUGCACCAACCUAAUA
rnacentral:miRNA from 1 species